GUUUGCUAGAAGAACAUUCUUGACUUUUCUUGAUUUUCUUAUACAGGGAGUUUGAGAAAGAUGAUUCUUGUUUUUCUUUCUAACAAUUAAGAAGAUACAAGAACUUUUUUCUUCACUUUCUUGACCAAAUAAUGUUAAGAAAAAGAAGAAAAAAAGAAACUCUAAAACAAGAUAUGACAAGCAUAAAAUUCACAAAUGUUCUUAUUUUCCUUAUCCAGAAAGUUUAAGAAAGAUAAUUCUUGAUUUUCUUGGUUAUGUUUAAGAAGAUACAAGAAUUCUUUUCUUCACUUACUUGAUCAAAUAUAGGUUUGAAAAAUUAUAAAAUCAAGAAAUCAAAACAAAAAGUUACAACUAGCAUAAAAUUCUUUAAUGUUAUGUUUUCCUUAUUCAAAAAGCUUAAGAAAGAUGCUUCUUGUUUUUCUUGGUAAUGUUUAAGAUAUACUAGAAUAUAUUUCUUAACUUUCUUGAUUGAGAAAAACAAGAUAUUUUUUUGGGUUCAUGGCACCUAGAGAUAGUUGCAAGAUAUAACAUUUAGUUGAAUAGUAUGGUAACCUUUCUUUUGAAAUUUCUGUUGGUGACCAAGCUAUGUUUAUUUCAAAGUUAUGUUUUGCUUUCCUCACAUCAAAACCCAUUUGGUGUCUUUGUUAAGAAUUAGUCUUGGUAACAAGAAAACAUUUCUUGAUUUUCUAGCAUAUCUUGUCAUGUGACUUUUUCUGAACUCCUGAUUGGUUUAUUUGUAUCUCAGAGUACUGUUGGGCUACCCCAGGUGGUCCAUCUCUAUUUUGAACAGUUAUAAGAAAAUAUUUCUUAACAUUUCUUGUUUUUCUAGCCUCUCUGGUCAUGUGACUUUUUCUGAACCCCUGAUUGGUUGAUCUGUAUCCCAGAGUACAGUUGGGCUACCCCAUCUCCAUUUUGAACAGAGUGACAGUUGCAGCAGCUCAGUUCACUACUCUUUGUAUCAGUUGAUGACUCGUGCCAGUUUUACAGCCAAAAGUAAGGUAAAAGGGACCAUGAUCAUGUGAGGCACUGGUGACUGGGUUCAAUUUGCUAAAAAUCAACAACUAUGCAGCGGAAACAGCUGGGAACAAGAUAUGAAGGAUAAGGUGUCCGGAGGUUUUGACCAUACCAAAUGUCAAGAAUGAAAAGUUCACUGCAAGGGUUUGCUCUAUUUUGGAAUGUGAUACUCUGUAACCAUAUGGAAUAGUUAUAUCUAAGUUUAUAGAUUAUGGCCUUAGCAUAUUCCGCUACAAAACAGCUACACUGCCAUUUAAGUAAUGCAAUAAUAUUGCUGUAAAUGCUUCUUUGAGAAGGGCAAUGAAUUUGAGAUUUUUCUUCUUGUACGUAUAUCAAGAUAAAUAAUUGGCAAUUUGAAUGUAAAGGAAUUGAUAUGCUCCUUGGGUAUUGGUUAUAUAUUAUUAUAAUACUAUAGGAAAUUCUACCAUAAUUAUUGAUGUUUGUCUGGUACUGUCAUCGUAAAAGUAUUUCCAUUCAAAGACUGUUACUAUUGUGAUCAUACUUCAUAAGUCUUAUGUAAGAAUGUGGUAAUAAACAUUCCUAUACUAUACA